UACAGGGGGGGCAAGCGUUGUUCGGAAUUACUGGGCGUAAAGGGCUCGUAGGCGGCCAACUAAGUCACACGUGAAAUCCCCAGGCUUAACCUGGGAACUGCGUGUGAUACUGGAUGGCUUGAAUUCGGGAGAGGGAUGCAGAAUUCCAGGUGUAGCGGUGAAAUGCGUAGAUAUCUGGAGGAAUACCGGUGGCGAAGGCGGCAUCCUGGACCGACAUUGACGCUGAGGCGCGAAAGCGUGGGUAGCAAACAGG
rnacentral:rRNA from 1 species